CACAUCACAUUAUCCAGACUAAUUAGAACAGAGCUUCAUAAAAAUGAAGUGCAUCACCUCUCACUCUCUGCACUCUCAAUUAUUUUCCGACCACAAAUAUAACCACCAAAAUGAAUUUACAAAUCGCAAUCUUAAUUACACCAAUCGCAGUUUCUCCUUAGCGUUGUCGUUCAGGACAAGGUCUCUACCGGCAGCCUCUUCUAUUUUUCUUGCAGCAAGCGCGCCGGUCGUCGGAGGAAAGUUGUCGGUCCUACUUCAGACAGGGGGUGUGUGUUUAUUUGCAUACUGGGUGGUGAAUUUUGCUGUGCCGGAGUUUAUAAUGAAGGAUAUUCAGUCCAGAGUGGAAAAGGAGGAUGGAGAUAAUCCAUCGGAAGAAGAUCAACGGUGAAGCGGACAAGUUGGGAUAAUUCAAUUUUUAAUUAGGAGUUUUGGUUGAGUAAUGAUACAUUAAUGGUACUUACCAAUUGUACUCAAUUUUAUGAAUUUUAAAUAUUCUUUCUGCAAAAUUGUGUUGGGUACUUGUUCA